UCACACACCCCCACCAGGAGAGGACUCUGCAUCAUCCAUUGCUGCUGUGGUGGCAUCAAUGGACUGGCCUGAAAUCACCAAGUACAGAGGUCUGGUUUCUGCUCAACCACACCAAGAGA